rnacentral:rRNA from 1 species
AGUGAACGCUGGCGGUAGGCCUAACACAUGCAAGUCGAGCGAUGAAGUUACUUCGGUAAUGAAUUAGCGGCGAACGGGUGAGGAACACGUGAGGAAUCUGCCAUUCACUCUGGGAUAACACCGGGAAACCGGUGCUAAUACCGGAUAUAUAAAUUUUGCGGCAUCGCAGAAUUUAGAAAGUUUUUCGGUGAAUGAUGACCUCGCGGCCUAUCAGCUUGUUGGUGAGGUAAUGGCUCACCAAGGCGACGACGGGUAGCCGGCCUGGGAGGGCGACCGGCCACACUGGGACUGAGACACGGCCCAGACUCCUACGGGAGGCAGCAGUGGGGAAUAUUGGGCAAUGGAGGAAACUCUGACCCAGCGACGCCGCGUGAGGGAUGAAGGCCUUCGGGUUGUAAACCUCUUUCAGUAGGGAAGAAGCGAAAGUGACGGUACCUAAAGAAGAAGCACCGGCUAACUAUGUGCCAGCCGCCGCGGUAA